rnacentral:rRNA from 1 species
AUUGAACGCUGGCGGCAUGCUUUACACAUGCAAGUCGGACGGCAGCACAGUGACGCUUGCUUCUUGGGUGGCGAGUGGCGAACGGGUGAGUAACAUAUCGGAACGUACCGAGCAGUGGGGGAUAACUAAUCGAAAGAUUAGCUAAUACCGCAUAUCUUCUGAGGAAGAAAGCAGGGGACCAUUUGGCCUUGCGCUGUUUGAGCGGCCGAUAUCUGAUUAGCUAGUUGGUGGGGUAAAGGCCUACCAAGGCGACGAUCAGUAGCGGGUCUGAGAGGAUGAUCCGCCACACUGGGACUGAGACACGGCCCAGACUCCUACGGGAGGCAGCAGUGGGGAAUUUUGGACAAUGGGCGCAAGCCUGAUCCAGCCAUGCCGCGUGGCUGAAGAAGGCCUUCGGGUUGUAAAGGACUUUUGUCAGGGAAGAAAAGGGCGGGGUUAAUACCCCUGUCUGAUGACGGUACCUGAAGAAUAAGCACCGGCUAACUACGUG